AACGAACGCUGGCGGCAGGCUUAACACAUGCAAGUCGAGCGCCCUGCAAGGGGAGCGGCAGACGGGUGAGUAACGCGUGGGAACGUACCUUUUGGUUCGGAACAACACAGGGAAACUUGUGCUAAUACCGGAUAAGCCCUUACGGGGAAAGAUUUAUCGCCGAAAGAUCGGCCCGCGUCUGAUUAGCUAGUUGGUGAGGUAAUGGCUCACCAAGGCGACGAUCAGUAGCUGGUCUGAGAGGAUGAUCAGCCACAUUGGGACUGAGACACGGCCCAAACUCCUACGGGAGGCAGCAGUGGGGAAUAUUGGACAAUGGGGGCAACCCUGAUCCAGCCAUGCCGCGUGAGUGAUGAAGGCCCUAGGGUUGUAAAGCUCUUUUGUGCGGGAAGAUAAUGACGGUACCGCAAGAAUAAGCCCCGGCUAACUUCGUG
rnacentral:rRNA from 1 species